CAAAGAACUUUGAAGAGAGAGUUCAAGAGGACGUGAAACCACAAGGGGCGAAGCGGAUAGAGUUGACGAAACUGGUAGUAAUCAGUGCAAAGUGCUGCCUGGCUGCGUUCGUGCUGCUUGGGUUUCCAAGGCGGACGUAGUCUUAGCUUGCUGGUACUUUGCACGCUUUUACUGCUAGUAGUGCCGAUUGCCUCGGUUGCUCCUUCUGAACCGUUGAGUUGAGGCCCACCUCGGUGGUUACCUGCUUGGCGGGGAGGUUGUGUAGUGGCUGGGGUUUAAGGGUCCGGCCUUUGCGAGGGAUGCCUGUGUCUGCAUUCGAGGAAUCUUCUGGCAGGUCCAGGGUGAACUUGGGUGUUUGGCAUGGUGUAUACUUCGUUGGACUCGUUUUCGGCUUGAAAGUUGACCACCUAUCCGACCCGUCUUGAAACACGGACCAAGAAGUCUAGUAUGUGCGCGAGUCAGUGGGCGUUAACCCUAUUGGCGUAAUGAAAGUAAAGGGCGGCUUGCCGUCUGAUAUGUGAUCCGUGAUUCGUCGCGGUGCAACAUAGCCCCAUGCCAGCUGCUUGCAGCGGUGUGGAGGUAGAGCGUACAUACUGGGACCCGAAAGAUGGUGAACUAUGCCUGAGCAGGACGAAGCCAGAGGAAACUCUGGUGGAGGUCCGAAGCGGUUCUGACGUGCAAAUCGAUCGUCUGACUUGGGUAUAGGGGCGAAAGACUAAUCGAACCAUC
rnacentral:rRNA from 1 species